UGAUAUAACUUCAAAUACAUGGAAGGAGGAAAAUGAGGAAAAAAUUUUAGAUCUUAAGCAACCAACCCCCUUCAGCAAUGGCCAUUGGAGAAGAAAGCACCAGCCACCAAAAUAGAAAAAGGGAGAAAAACCCUGAAUCUCGAGCGGUCAAGGCAUCGAGCAGCACAAGCCCCCUCAACGAUGACCAAGUUGGGGAGGAAAAAGAGAAAGAAAA
rnacentral:lncRNA from 1 species